UUAGGCAUCGGAGCCUCAUGCCUCAUACACCGGAGCUCCCCUUGGUGGACACUCUCUUGCUGUUGUGCGCAGGUCUGAGCUAAGCCGAAUUCUACAGCAACAAUCUACUAUUCCUUAAAAAAUGUUUUUUUUAGGCAAUUCUUUGUGGAGUGGAGGGAGAAAUAUGUCUACUUACUUGGGAUAUAUUUUUUAUUUUUUGUAUAUUAUUGGUGAUUACAUUUUAUUUAUCACAGGAGUGCUGACAAUUUGUUUGGCUGAAUUUUUUUAUCAGUUGAUCUCUAUUGUUUGGCAAUUGAGUCUUGGAACUAUUUUUACAUCGACAUGAAUUUGAAUUGAACGCAUUAUUUGCAAUGAAUGUGAUGGGAAUAAAUUAUUGGCUAAAAGGUCGCAGCGCUGCCUUUUGGACGCUACAAUGAAUCUCAACUGUAAAUUUGGUUUUAAUGAAUUUGAGAGAGAUUUAUUACUUUCACCGAAAGGUAAACAUCUUCGCCUUGGAUGAUCCUUGCCUGAUGACCCCAACAUCUAUGAUUUUUCCGAAAUAUGCGUCGCAACUAACAACCUCCUGGCCAAACGCUACUCCACUCCAUCGGCUACCUGGCGUUGCUCCCUCCACGACAAGGACGUCAUCGUCUUCCAGCGCAUGUUGCGACACUCCAUAGAACAUUCCAGGCUCCGCAAACAGCUAUCCUCUCCAACUGGAUGUCGCUAAUGUAGGUGGCCAUCGAUAUCGCCAAAGGGCUCGAUUACAUCCACAAUUCAUUUGAGUUGAAUCAGAAUUUCGUCCACAACCAUAUCAAGAGUACCGGCGUGAUCAUCACAGAUCAACACACGAUUCAUGCGAGGUUCAUUUCGGCAUGAGAACUCUGCGGAGAGAUCCCGAAAUCCUCGUCGUCGUUUUUGUCGAAAUUGAAGAGAGCAAAGUCGGAGCGUGAGAUUCGAAGGUACCAGAGGUUACAUGUCGCCUGAAUUUCAGGCGACCGGGAUCGGAACUCAAUAAUCCGACGUGUUUGCUUUUGGGGUUGUGCUCUUGGAACUGAUAUCGGGAGACGAGGCCUUGAGGUACAGAUUGGAUGGGGAGAAGAAGGAUUACAGAAGAGUCUCACUGAUCGAGACGGCUAGGGAAGCAAUGGAGGAGGAGGAAGAGGGUAAAAUUAAUGGAGAUAUUGCUUCAUUAGUACUUCAGUCAGAAUACUUGAAGAUCACAGAGGAGUGAAUGAAAACUAUUUAGUCUUAUAGCAAGAACAAUCCUCCUUUGAAGAGUAGCAGUCUAAAUAUUGCUCUUAAGUUCAAAGCUUGUGAUUCUUGGUUUCAGAGGAACCUCUAAUGGUUUCCUGAAGUUUCCCUUUCUUGAUGAUCUUCUCACAAUUUGUACCUUUUAAGGAGUUCUACUUAAAAGUUAUUGGAAUCUUAUUCA